rnacentral:tRNA from 1 species
UGCGAAUUAGCUCAGUUGGUAGAGCAGUGGACUGUUAAUCCAUUUGUCGUCAGUUCGAGUCUGACAUUCGCAG